rnacentral:tRNA from 1 species
AAAGGGAGACCUAAUUCAGGUAGGAGACGAAAAAAAAGUAGUCGCUACCAAGAAUCAAUCCCAAAAGGUCGGAGCGAGGCGAAAUUGGCUUUCAAACUAGGUUCUGGGUUCAAACAAGACCUGAAUCAGGAACAAGGGCUAUUAGCUCAGGUGGUUAGAGCGCACCCCUGAUAAGGGUGAGGUCCCUGGUUCGAGUCCAGGAUGGCCCACCUGCACAGGUGGCAAAAACAAAGAAGCGAGGAAUCAGCACCUUAUCUUAUAUACAUAUAUAAGAGAGAAUGCUGGCUCUGAGUACAGAGUCCAGAGGAACCUUGAAAACUGCAUAGAGCUAGGUGAAAAAGCCAAAAAAGAAGACCGCAAG